rnacentral:rRNA from 1 species
GCGAACCGGGUGAGUAACACGUAGGCAACCUGCCCAAAAGAGGGGGAUAACACUUGGAAACAGGUGCUUAAUACUCGCAAUAACCAUGAACAACCGCAUGAUUGUUCAUUGUAAAAGACGGCUUUUGCUGUCACUUUUGGAUGGGCCUGCGGCGUAUUAACUUUGUUGGUGGGGUAACGGCCUACCAAGGUGAUGAUACGUAGCCGAACUGAGAGGUUGAUCGGCCACAUUGGGGACUGAGACACGGCCCAAACUCCUACGGGAGGGCAGCAGUAGGGAAUCUUCCACAAUGGACGAAAGUCUGAUGGAGCAACGCCGCGUGAAUGAAGAAGGCCUUCGGGUCGUAAAAUUCUGUUGUCAGAGAAGAACGUGCGUGAGAGUAACUGUUCACGUAUUGACGGUACCUGACCAGAAAGCCACGGCUAACUACGUGCCAGCAGCCGCGGUAAUACGUAGGUGGCGAGCGUUGUCCGGAUUUAUUGGGCGUAAAGGGAACGCAGGCGGUCCUUUAAGUCUGAUGUGAAAGCCUUCGGCUUAACCGAAGUAGUGCAUUGGAAACUGGAAGACUUGAGUGCAGAAGAGGAGAGUGGAACUCCA